rnacentral:rRNA from 1 species
UACAGAGGUCUCAAGCGUUGUUCGGAUUCAUUGGGCGUAAAGGGCGCGUAGGCUGCGGGGCAAGUCGGGUGUGAAAUCUCAGAGCUCAACUCUGAAACUGCACUCGAUACUGCUUUGCUCGAGGACUGGAGAGGAGAUUGGAAUUCACGGUGUAGCAGUGAAAUGCGUAGAUAUCCGGAAGAACACCAGUGGCGAAGGCGGUUAGCUGGGCAGUUGCUGACACUGAUGCGCGACAGCGUGGGGAGCAAACAGG